AGAGUUUGAUCCUGGCUCAGAAUGAACGCUGGCGGCGUGCUUAACACAUGCAAGUCGAACGUGAAAGUCCUUCGGGAUAAGUAAAGUGGCGAACGGGUGAGUAAUACGUAAGAAUCUUCCUUUUAGUGAGGAAUACCUCCGAGAAAUCGGAGUUAAUACUGCAUACGUCCUGUAAAGGAGAAAGAUGGGUUUAUCCUGUCGCUGAAAGAUGAGCUUACGGGCUAUUAGCUAGUUGGUGGGGUAAAAGCCUACCAAGGCGAUGAUGGCUAUCCGGCCUGAGAGGGUGAACGGACACACUGGAACUGAGACACGGUCCAGACUCCUACGGGAGGCAGCAGUGAGGAAUAUUGCACAAUGGGCGAAAGCCUGAUGCAGCGACGCCGCGUGAAGGAUGAAGGUCUUCGGAUUGUAAACUUCUGUUAAACGGAAAGAAAGAAUUACCAGUAAUAUGGGUAAGAGAUGACGU
rnacentral:rRNA from 1 species